AGUGGAAAGUUUCUGUUUUCCGGAAUGAUUUUAAGUUAAUGAAAUGCUAUAAAAACUCUAGCGCCAAUGUUUUAACCAUAACCUUAGUCGACUCUCUUGUGUUUAUAAAGUCAUGUUUUAGUCUUGCUAAGCUUUGUGACAUAGUUGAAACUUUUUUCUUUUGACGUCAUUUGGAAUGAUUUUAUUAAAUGAAAUUCUACAAGAACUCGUGCGCCAAUGUCUAUUAACUUUCGUCAACUUCUUGUGUUAAAGACAUUUUUAAAGUCUAACCAAGCCGUGUAAAGUAACGGUAUUGAAAAUUUUUUUCCUUAGAUGUCAUUCGGAAUAUGUCGGGGGCCACCGAGGUUGUUUGGUUUGUUUUUUUUUGUUGUUGUUUUUUGUAAUAUCUUAUUUUUUAAUCAAUUAAUUAAAAAUCAAAAUACUAGCUAAUUUUAUUUUAAAGUUUUAAUUAACACAUUUUAAUCAAUGAAGGGAAAUAAAUAAAUAAAAAAGCCCUGUAUGUUUUUCACUUCAAGGUGUAGAUUUCUACUCAUUCUUAUUUUCACUUUAUUGCCACCAGGAAACCAAUAGAUCUUAUGGUUGUUUUAUUUGUGUGCAUAGGUAUCUGUUGUAGUUUUGAUUUUUAAAUUUGUUGAUGUUUUAGGGUAGGUGGUAUAUUAAAUUAUUGAAUUGUAUUAUGUAUAACUAGUGUUGAAGUAUACAAUUCCUAUUGCGUAAACCAUUUGCAUAAUAAAUUUCAUAAUAAUUCAAAACCUUGAAAAGCAUAGUUCUAAAGAAAGUAAAAGAAAACAUUAUCAUUUUCAAAUUUAUUUCAAUUGUAUUCAUUUGUUUAACUUAUUUUCUAUUUUAAAAUUGUUGUAAUUCAUAAAGACCUGUAGAUUUUUGAGGGGAAGAAACUUUUAUGAAGUAAAUUUGCUUUCGAAAUUUGAAAAAUAAAAAAAAUUGAAUAUGAUGUUCGUAUAUAUUUGUAAUUUUUCUAAUCCAUAGCUAUUCUUGUCUUUUAUAUCACUAUAUGCACUACAUAUACUUAAAACACAUAACUAUCUAUACAUGUAGAGGUCUUCAACACUAUCAGUUUCAAGUAGGUCAUUCAGCCUCUUAAUAAUUCACAAAGGCUCAUGCAUAGUAUUUUU